rnacentral:piRNA from 1 species
CGGCGUCUCAAGAAAACACUGAAGAAUUC